rnacentral:misc_RNA from 1 species
UCCUGGUUUCCCAGGCAGUCCCACCAGAGUGCUCCCUUUCAGGUAGCAACUGGCGGUAAGGGUUGCGCUCGUUAAAGGACUUAACCCAACAUCUCACGACACGAGCUGACGACAGCCAUGCAGCACCUGUGUAACCGUCUGUAUUGCUACAGAACCCAAUGUUUCUACCAGUAGCAGUUACAUGUCAAGCCCAGGUAAGGUUCCUCGCGUAGUGUCGAAUUAAACCACAUGUUCCACCGCUUGUGCGGACCCCCGUCAAUUUCUUUGAGUUUUAAUCUUGCGACCGUACUCCCCAGGCGGAUCACUUAACGCGUUAGCUUCGACACAGAUCCUGCAAGCAAGACCCAUAUCUAGUGAUCAUCGUUUACAGCGUGGACUAC